ensembl:lncRNA
GAUCACAUUUGUUGAGCAUUUUCAACCUGUUUAUGGUAAUUACGUUGUGUAUAACAUACACGGGCUGACACAUCUUGUCAAUGAUGCAAAGCAGUUUGGUGUGCUGCAUAAUUUCACAGCUUUCCCAUUUGAGAACUUCAUCUACACAUUAAAAAAGGACCCCUACCCAGCCCCUUCCACAGAUCAUCAGGAGAUUGUCAAGUGUCAGAACUAAAAUAAGGGUGUGCAAGGAUGGUUUUUGCCAGGAACAUAAGAAUGGGCCUUUUCCAUGUGACAUCUCAGCAGUUUACACAGUAUAAGAAAUAUGUAAAUGGUGUAACUUUAAAGAGCAGGUCAGAUGGGUUUUUGAAAAAUCUCUCUUUUGUAGUUUAUAACGUAGCUAUCCUUAAAUGAAAACAAUCUGCAAAGUUGUUAAUCAAAAAAGUGCAUGAUAAAUAAAGAUAUUGUCUCUCAAAAGAGAGAGUCUUUUACUUAAUCUAAUAAUUUUAGGCUAUUGGAAUGAAAAAAUAUAUAUCAAACGAAAAACAGCAAUGUUUUACUUUUUACAGUGUAUCGCACAGCCCUAAUGUAUUCUAUAGUUGUUUUUACUGAAAAGAAUGAUACAGAGAUGAUACCAAGUGACUGGCUGAGCAUCGACAAAAUUUUUUCCUUUUGGCCCCCAUAUAACGGUACAAAAUGUAGAAAAGCGGUUGAAAAAAAUGAAACUCCUGAUGAAGAAUGGAACGAAUAUAUAACUGAAUGGGUGGCUGAGUAUGAUUCCUAUGAAAAAGCCAGAAGAAAGCUGGUGAAGUUUUGUAAAGGCAACAGUUUGGAGUCUACAGAUGAGGACAGUGUACGGAAAAGAGUACCAUCAUCAAAAUAUGUAAAUGGAUUUACAUCUAAUACAGCCUCAGGAAGACCUCCAGUGCAGGCCUCAACAAGCUGGCUCCACACAGGGGACGAUAUGUUGAAAGGAACUUUUGAGCAUUGGUCACUUUCCUGUUGUAUAAGAUCGCAGCGAAACUCUGGACGGAAGUAAAUGUUGUGAUGUUUGGCAAUUUAUUAUACAUUGUACGGAUUCUGUCUCUUACUGUUCCAUAUGCAGAGACAAUGGAAAGACCAAAAAAAAAAACUUCGUUAUUUGGCUCGGCUCGUGUUCAUCUUCAGUUCUCUCUUCACAGCAGUUCAGUCAGUGUACUGUUUGAGUAAAUGAAUUACUCCGGGAUAUUGGUUUAUUUGAACUCAGAGGGAGUGUCAGCCAUGUUAAAAAAGUUAACAGCUUAAGUCAUUUGUGGAUUAAUGCUUAUUGUUGACGCGAACCGUUUCAAACGAUUCAGUUCGAUUUGGUGAACUGGUUCAAGAAGAUCCGGUUACAUCAAGUGAUUCGUUCGCGAACCGGAAAUCAAUACACUGCAGUGUUGUGAACGCGCUCAUAACAGACCCGGG